GUGUGAGAGUGCUGUGUGUGAUGGGUGAGAGUGUUGUGUGUGAUGGGUGAGAGAGUGCUGUGUGUGAUGGGUGUGAGUGCUGUGUAUGAUGUGUGUGAGAGUGCUGAGUGUGCUGAGUGUGAGAGUGCUGACUGUGAGAGUGCUGUGUAUGAUGUGUGUGAGAGUGCUGUGUGUGAGAGUGUGUGUAUGAUGUGUGAGAGUGCUGUGUGUGAUGGGUGUGAGAGUGCUGUGUGUGAUGGGUGUGAGAGUGCUGUGUGUGAUGGGUGAGAGUGCUGUGU